AGUGAGCGCUGGCGGUAGGCCUAACACAUGCAAGUCGAACGGCAGCACAGUAAGAGCUUGCUCUUACGGGUGGCGAGUGGCGGACGGGUGAGGAAUACAUCGGAAUCUACUUUUUCGUGGGGGAUAACGUAGGGAAACUUACGCUAAUACCGCAUACGACCUACGGGUGAAAGCAGGGGAUCUUCGGACCUUGCGCGAUUGAAUGAGCCGAUGUCGGAUUAGCUAGUUGGCGGGGUAAAGGCCCACCAAGGCGACGAUCCGUAGCUGGUCUGAGAGGAUGAUCAGCCACACUGGAACUGAGACACGGUCCAGACUCCUACGGGAGGCAGCAGUGGGGAAUAUUGGACAGUGGGCGCAAGCCUGAUCCAGCCAUACCGCGUGGGUGAAGAAGGCCUUCGGGUUGUAAAGCCCUUUUGUUGGGAAAGAAAAGCAGCAGGUUAAUACCCCGCUGUUCUGACGGUACCCAAAGAAUAAGCACCGGCUAACUUCGUG
rnacentral:rRNA from 1 species